GAUGAACGCUGGCGGCGUGCUUAACACAUGCAAGUCGAACGGAAAGGCCGAAGCUUGCUUCGGUACUCGAGUGGCGAACGGGUGAGUAACACGUGGGUGAUCUGCCCUGUACUUCGGGAUAAGCUUGGGAAACUGGGUCUAAUACCGGAUAUGACGAUCUCUUGGAUGGGGUUGUGGAAAGCUUUUGCGGUAUGGGAUGAGCUCGCGGCGUAUCAGCUUGUUGGUGGGGUAAUGGCCUACCAAGGCGUCGACGGGUAGCCGGCCUGAGAGGGUGUACGGCCACAUUGGGACUGAGAUACGGCCCAGACUCCUACGGGAGGCAGCAGUGGGGAAUAUUGGACAAUGGGCGCAAGCCUGAUGCAGCGACGCCGCGUGGGGGAUGACGGCCUUCGGGUUGUAAACUCCUGUCGCAAUCGACGAAGCCUUUUGGUGACGGUAGGUAGAGAAGAAGCACCGGCUAACUACGUG
rnacentral:rRNA from 1 species